rnacentral:misc_RNA from 1 species
AGCACUCUUCACUGGAAGAAUAUAGAGUUGUGUCAAUUUGACUAGCUCAGCAAAUUUAUCCCAAAUGGAAUACAACUCUUAUUAUUCUGCAUGACUCUGAGAUGCAAUCUAGGAUAGAAUAGGCAAUCUACAAAUUGCAGCCCAUCCAAAACAAUUUAAGCACUGUAAAGAGCUCAUUUCUCAAUUUGAUGAAUCUCGGCUGUAGUAUUGGUCAAGAGUCUUUGCUGGUAUACGGUGCAGUAGCUCACGAGGGAAGAUGCGAAGCAAUGUCCAGGCUAAAUCAAGUGAUUGGAAAAUGUUGCGAGUGUCAUAAGCUCCUUGGGCAAC